GUCUCUGUAGCUCAACGGAUAGAGCGGUAGCGUCCUAAGCUGACGAUGGGGGUUCGAUUCCCUCCAGGGACACCA
rnacentral:tRNA from 1 species